rnacentral:rRNA from 1 species
UUUACUGAGAGUUUGAUCCUGGCUCAGGACGAACGCUGGCGGCGUGCCUAAUACAUGCAAGUCGUGCGGACCUUUUAAAAG